GUCAGGGUCUGCAGCUGAUUGUCCAGGGGCAUGGGGUCAAGGGGUCAAGGUCAGGGUCUGCAGCUGAUUGUCCAGGGGCAUGGGGUCAAGGGGUCAAGGUCAGGGUCUGCAGCUGAUUGUCCAGGGGCAUGGGGUCAAGGGGUCAAGGUCAGGGUCUGCAGCUGAUUGUCCAGGGGCAUGGGGUCAAGGGGUCAAGGUCAGGGUCUGCAGCUGAUUGUCCAGGGGCAUGGGGUCAAGGGGUCAAGGUCAGGGUCUGCAGCUGAUUGUCCAGGGGCAUGGGGUCAAGGGGUCAAGGUCAGGGUCUGCAGCUGAUUGUCCAGGGGCAUGGGGUCAAGGGGUCAAGGUCAGGGUCUGCAGCUGAUUGUCCAGGGGCAUGGGGUCAAGGGGUCAAGGUCAGGGUCUGCAGCUGAUUGUCCAGGGGCAUGGGGUCAAGGGGUCAAGGUCAGGGUCUGCAGCUGAUU